CUUCACAAAAACUGCUCACGAAUAGCUGCAAAUUCUCAGGCGGGUUUGUUUGGAUAUGUACAAGCUAUUAUUGAUGUAUCUAAACUUUUGAAAAGUCAACAAAUUGAGCUGAAAGUUGGUUACUUCCUGAAGAAGACUUGAGGAGAAAAGGAGAGAUGUUGGAAUGAACAAGCAGUCCAUGGAGCAGUUACACACACUCAUCAAUUAAGUUUGCUGUCUUAUAUGAGGGAAAUUCAUGGUACCCCAAAACAAUUACCAUAGUAACAUUAAAUAACACUGAUCAGAGACCACCAUAAUGAUAUAAUAAUGAUGAAAGAGUUUGAAAUACUUCAAGAAUUACCAAAAUGUGGCACAAAGACCCAAAAGAAGCACAUGCUGUUGAAAAAAUGACAAUAGACUUGCUCGAUGCAGGGUUGCAACAAACCUUCAAUUUGUAAAAAAUGCAUUAUCUAUGAAGCACAAUAAAGUGAAGUAAAAUUAAAUGAGGUAUGCCUGUUUGUAUUUACCUAUGUAAUUAUCAUUUUCCAUGCUCUUCAUUUCUUUGUGUAAAUCCAGUAUUGCCUCCGCUUGGAUUUCUUUUAAUAUUUACUGUAGUGCAGAUUUGCUGGUAAUGAAUUCUUUCAGCUUCUAUACAUCCAAAAAAGAUUUGUUUAGUCUUCUGUUUUUGAAAUAUAUUUUCACCAAACCUUUGUCCAGUGAACUUUUUUUCAAUAAUGUAGAGACAUUGGUCCAUUUUCUUCUAGCUUGAAAUAUUUCCAAUGAGAAAUCUGCUGUUGUCUUUAAUUUUAUUCCUCUGUAGGUAAGGUGUCAUUAAUUUUUAGUCCUUUUAAUACUUUCUCUUUAUCACCAGGUUUAUGCAACUUAAGGUGGUGUGCCUUAGUUAUAAAUAAGUUUAUUAAUACUUAUAUUACUUGCAUGUGUUUCCUUUUUACCAGUCUAAUCCAUUUGAAAUUUAGCAUGAUUAUAAUUUUAUGUUUUUAUUUUCCAAGUCACUAUCUAAUUGUACAAACAUAAUUUGUUAAAUAGUUCAUUAUUUAUUUCCCCAGUGAUUUAAGAUACCUGACACUUUUGGCAUAUAGUAAAUUUCUAUACAUACAAAGUUCUAUUUCUGAACAUUCUAUUCUGUUUCAUGUAGUUUAAGCAUGAUAUUUUUACAACAUGUUUUAAUAUCUAGAAAAGGAAGUCCUUAUUCAUUGUUUUUUUCAUGGCAUUUAUUUUUACACAAUAUAAAUUCAGUUUCUCUAGCCCAAGAAAAAAUGCAUAGAGUAUUUCACUGGGAUUGUCUUAAAUUUAUAUAAUUAAUUUGGAAGAAUUAGAAUAUGUAUGAUGAUCAUUCAUACUAUCUAAGAACCAGAAAUGUAUUUUUAUUGUUCAUUUUACAAGUAUUUAAAUUGAUUUAUUAUAUAUGUAUUGAAUAUUUUUAUUAAAUUAAUUCCUAAACCUAAGUGUAUUUCUAAAUACAUGUUUAUAAUUAUUAUAAAGAUUUCUUUAGUUAUGAUCUGUUGAUAUAAGACUAUGUUUUAUGUUUAUAUUAUAUCUUGCUUACUUAUUUUAUUGAAUUUUUAUUUUAUUUUAAAUACUCUUUGGUUUUCAAAUUAUGUUAUUAUGCUACCUGCAACUGGAAACAGUUUUACCUCUCUGCGUCCAAUUUUGUUCUUAUGUAUUGCCUACUGUAUGCAAUACAAUUCAGGUUUCCCGAUUUGCUGUACUUAGUUAAAAAUAAAUGCCUAAAAGUUUAUUUUUUAUUAGUAGAAUGAUGACUUUGGUGGUUGUUAUAUGUAACAUAUAACAUGUAAUUUGUUAUAGUGUAUAAAAUAUAUAAUAUAUACCUAAUAAAAUCAUAUCAUUCAUAAAUUUAUUUUUAAAUAUCUAUUUUCUUAUUUUAUUUUUUAUUCAUUUUUUAACAGAAAUGAGUAUUAUAUUUUGUUAAAUACUAUUUCAGAAUACAUAGAAAUAAGUUUAUGGUUUUCUUCCUCUUUAGAUCUAGUGAUGUGGCUGAUUACAUUAAUGGAUUCCUUAAUAUUAAGCCAUCCUUGAAUUCCUAUGAUAAAUUCUAUUUGGUUAAAUUGCAUAUUUCUUAAUGUGUUUUGGAGUGUUAUUAUUUUGCAUAUAUUAUAUGUAGAUACUUAAAUUGAAAUUUUAAAGAGACUGCUCUUUUUUUGUUACAUUUUAGUCUAUGUCAUGUCUACAUAUAAAUGUUAUACUUGCUUCAAAACAUAAUUUUAAGUUUUUCUUACUAUAUGUUCUGAAACACUUUAAGUGACAUAUUUUUCUGCAAUUUUAAUAAAAUUCUUUUAU
rnacentral:lncRNA from 1 species